ensembl:lncRNA
UUUAAUUCCAAGACAGCAUUCUUUACAAAGCUUGACAUAAACAAACAUAGACUACAGCACCCAACAAUAACUCACAACAAAGACUAGGGCAGGAGAAACUUAUAUAGGGACAUAAAAGGGAUAAAUGAGGAACAGGUGACAAGACUAAACUGGACAGAUGAAACCAAUGAUCUAAGGGAACUAAACAGAACACAGAAAUGAAGAAACUAGAACUGAACAUAGAAAUGUAAUGACCGGCACGGCACAGGCCUUAGCUGGCCUUUACAAUCACAAGUAAAAAAAUCCUGCUAGCCAGACUGUUUAUUUGUCCAUUUGUUUCACGUAGACUAAUAAGACCAUUCUUACCAAAUCAAGCCACCUCAAAACAGUGAACUAAAUAGCUUAAUUAAACUGCACUCAUAUCUCCCUGCAUCCUGACGUUUAAUUAGAGGAGCCAUUUCUGGAAAGAAGCAUUUAAGAAAUUACACCCUCCAAAAUCAAGCCCAAAAGGUUAUUCAUAAGGUUUUUCAAUAAGAAACUUCCACAGGUUGAAGUCACGUCCACAGGUUGAAGUCACGGCCACAGGUUGAAGUCACGUCCACAGGUUGAAGUCACGUCCACAGUUUGAAGUCACGGCCACAGGUUGAAAUCACGGCCACAGGUUGAAGUCACGGCCACAGGUUGAAGUCAUGUCCACAGUUUGAAGUCACGUCCACAGGUUGAAGUCACGGCCAUAGGUUGAAGUCACGGCCACAGGUUGAAGUCACGGCCACAGGUUGAAGUCCCGGCCACAGGUUGAAGUCACGGCCACAGGUUGAAGUCAUGUCCACAGUUUGAAGUCACGUCCACAGGUUGAAGUCACGGCCACAGGUUGAAGUCACGGCCAUAGGUUGAAGUCACGGCCACAGGUUGAAGUCAUGGCCACAGGUUGAAGUCACGGCCACAGGUUGAAGUCACGGCCACAGGUUGAAGUCACGGCCACAGGUUCUCUCCAGAUACAACGAUAAGUAGCAAUGUUCU